rnacentral:rRNA from 1 species
UGGGGAAUAUUGCACAAUGGGCGAAAGCCUGAUGCAGCGACGCCGCGUGAGGGAUGACUGCCUUCGGGUUGUAAACCUCUUUCAGCAGGGACGAAGCGAAAGUGACGGUACCUGCAGAAGAAGCACCGGCCAACUACGUGCCAGCAGCCGCGGUAAUACGUAGGGUGCAAGCGUUGUCCGGAAUUAUUGGGCGUAAAGAGCUCGUAGGCGGCUAGUCGCGUCGGCUGUGAAAACCUGGGGCUCAACCCCGGGCCUGCAGCCGAUACGGGCUAGCUAGAAUUCGGUAGGGGAGACUGGAAUUCCUGGUGUAGCGGUGAAAUGCGCAGAUAUCAGGAGGAACACCGGUGGCGAAGGCGGGUCUCUGGGCCGAUAUUGACGCUGAGGAGCGAAAGCGUGGGGAGCGAACA